rnacentral:rRNA from 1 species
AUGCGCCACGCCAUCGUCGUCAACAUCGGCGACCAGCUGGAGGUGAUCACCAACGGGCGGUACAAGAGCGUGAUGCACCGCGUGCUCACCCGCCCCGACGGCAACCGCAUGUCCCUCGCCUCCUUCUACAACCCCGGCGCGGACGCCGUCAUCUUCCCUGCCCCGGCGCUUGUCGAGGAGCUGUCGGAGGAGGAGGCGGAGCGUGCCGGGAGCGCCGUGUACCCGAGGUUCGUGUUCGAGGACUACAUGAACCUGUACUUGCUCCACAAGUUCGAGGCCAAGGAGCCGCGCUUCCAGGCCAUGAAGGCGGACGCCGCGCCCAUCGCCACCGCGUGA